GAUGCUUGAACUCUGCUCAGAAAUGCCUUCCCUUGAAUAACCACAAAAGUGGAGAAAGAAGAUGAAAAAAGAAACAGUAUGAGAGGAUGUCCCACUGGUGGGGGAUUGAACAAGCGGCUGUGUGGGGCUUAGUUGCCAGCUGGAGUGAAACCAUGGCAGAAAUCUAAACAAGUUGUUUUAAAAUCCCUGCUUUCAAGCUCUGGAAAUGCUGCUCAUCGAACUCCCUGAACAAUUCAGAAAACAUCUCAGCUGAAGAACAAAACAUGGCUUAUGUGCCUGUGUUACAGCAGUUGGAGGAAAGUACUAAUACUAUAAAUGCUUUAUAUUACUUUGCAUAACUGGCAUCACAACCUUUGUUUAAUAUUCAAGUAAGAUUAGACAGAUAAAGAAGGAAGGCAAGAGGAGGAAAACUUAAGCAAGCCUUGGUUAAGGCAGUCUAAAGGUCAAAAUUAUAAUAUUAA